GUGGGGAAUUUUGGACAAUGGGCGCAAGCCUGAUCCAGCAAUGCCGCGUGUGUGAAGAAGGCCUUCGGGUUGUAAAGCACUUUUGGCAGGAAAGAAAUAGUGCGUGCUAAUACCAUGCGCGAAUGACGGUACCUGCAGAAUAAGCACCGGCUAACUACGUGCCAGCAGCCGCGGUAAGACGUAGGGUGCAAGCGUUAAUCGGAAUUACUGGGCGUAAAGCGUGCGCAGGCGGUUUUGUAAGACAGGUGUGAAAUCCCCGGGCUCAACCUGGGAACUGCACUUGUGACUGCAAGGCUAGAGUGUGUCAGAGGGAGGUGGAAUUCCGAGUGUAGCAGUGAAAUGCGUAGAGAUGCGGAGGAACACCGAUGGCGAAGGCAGCCUCCUGGGAUAACACUGAGAGACGAAAGCGAGGGGAGCAAAUGGGAUUAGAAACCCUGGUAGUCC
rnacentral:rRNA from 1 species